UACGGAGGGGGCAAGCGUUAUUCGGAAUUAUUGGGCGUAAAGGGCGCGUAGGCGGCUUUGUAAGUCAAAGGUGAAAUCCCUCGGCUCAACUGAGGAACUGCCUUUGAAACUGCAAGGCUUGAGGCCGGGAGGGGGUAGCGGAAUUCCCAAUGUAGCGGUGAAAUGCGUAGAUAUUGGGAGGAACACCUGUGGCGAAAGCGGCGCACUGGACUGGUACUGACGCUCAGGAGCGAAAGCGUGGGGAGCGAUCCGG
rnacentral:rRNA from 1 species